rnacentral:rRNA from 1 species
GAUGAACGCUGGCGGCGUGCUUAACACAUGCAAGUCGAACGGAAAGGCCCAAGCUUGCUUGGGUACUCGAGUGGCGAACGGGUGAGUAACACGUGGGUGAUCUGCCCUGCACUUCGGGAUAAGCCUGGGAAACUGGGUCUAAUACCGGAUAGGACGAUGGUUUGGAUGCCAUUGUGGAAAGUUUUUUCGGUGUGGGAUGAGCUCGCGGCCUAUCAGCUUGUUGGUGGGGUAAUGGCCUACCAAGGCGUCGACGGGUAGCCGGCCUGAGAGGGUGUACGGCCACAUGGGGACUGAGAUACGGCCCAGACUCCGACGGGGGGCAGCAGUGGGGAAUAUUGCACAAUGGGCGCAAGCCUGAUGCAGCGACGCCGCGUGGGGGAUGACGGCCUUCGGGUUGUAAACUCCUUUCGCUAGGGACGAAGCGUUUUUGUGACGGUACCUGGAGAAGAAGCACCGGCUAACUACGUG